CCUGAGGCCUUUCAACUUUCCUGUGCGUUUUGGAAUCUUUAAACUACUACGGGAAUGAGAACAUAAACUGUGAAAGUAAACAGUCACCUAAAGAAAUUGCAGUAUGAAGAGGAGCCAUAUGCAGCAGCUGCCAGUGAUGCCAGAGACCAACAUCUGCUGACCAGAAGAGAAGGACGUGAUUUACUGGUAAGGGAAGAAAGUAGGGCCGGGUGCAGUGGCUCACGCCUAUAAUCCCAGCACUCUGGGAGGCCAAGGUGGGCGGAUCACUUGAUGUCAGGAGUCUGAGACCAGCCUGGCCAACAUGGUGAAACCCCAUCUCUACUAAAAAUACAAAAAAAAAAAAAAUUAGCCAGGCUUGGUGGCACACACCUGUAAUCCCAGCUACUCAGGACCUGAGUUGGGAGGACUGCUUGAACCCGGGAGGCAGAG
rnacentral:lncRNA from 10 species